GACGAACGCUGGCGGCGUGCUUAACACAUGCAAGUCGAACGGUAAGGCCCUUCGGGGUACACGAGUGGCGAACGGGUGAGUAACACGUGGGUGAUCUGCCCUGCACUUCGGGAUAAGCCUGGGAAACUGGGUCUAAUACCGGAUAGGACCACUGCCUGCAUGGGUGGUGGUGGAAAGAUUUUGCGGUGUGGGAUAGGCCCGGGGCCUAUCAGGUUGUUGGUGGGGUGAUGGCCUACCAAGGCGCGGGCGGGUAGCCGGCCUGCGAGGGUGACCGGCCACACUGGGACUGAGAUACGGCCCAGACUCCUACGGGAGGCAGCAGUGGGGAAUAUUGCACAAUGGGCGCAAGCCUGAUGCAGCGACGCCGCGUGAGGGAUGACGGCCUUCGGGUUGUAAACCUCUUUCAGCACCGACGAAGCGCAAGUGACGGUAGGUGCAGAAGAAGGACCGGCCAACUACGUGCCAGCAGCCGCAGUAA
rnacentral:rRNA from 1 species